rfam:Tuber melanosporum whole genome shotgun sequence assembly, scaffold_251, strain Mel28
UGGAGCCGUAUGCGAUGAAAGUUGCACGUACGGUUCUUAAAGGGGGAAGUUUUAGUAAUAAAAUAACCUAUCUUGAC